UACAAUUUCUCGAGCUUUCGCAUACAAG
rnacentral:piRNA from 1 species